GACAGCCACACACUGGGCAAGGACAUAGCUGUUUUAUUUUCAUCUUCAUUCUAACGUAGGAAUCAUUAAAAUGUGAGACUGGCCCAAAGCCAGGUUUGCGCCUUCCUGGACUCUGCGCCAUUGGCUGUGUGUCUCCCCGAGGGAGAAUUCAGCCAGGGCUGGAGGAGUAGCCUGUCUGGCUGUUUUCCCUGUGCCGGAUGGAAAGGCUUGGGGAGCCUGCGGCUGGACAAGCCCCUCACUCCACCGUGAGUCUCUUUGGGGGCCUCUGCCUGCCUAGUCUCUUUUUCUAAAUCCUCCCCUUGAGGCGGUGGUCCACCCGUCCCAUCCACUGGCUUUUCUUAGUUCUUUUUUUCUUUGCUUAUUUAGGGCCGAACCCAUGGCACAUGGAGGUUCUCAGGCUAGGGGUCGAAUCAGAGCCUCAGCAGUCAGCCUCUGCCACAGUCACAGCAAGGCUGGAUCCGAGCCACAUCGGUGAUCUACACCACAGCUCUACGGCAAUGCUGGAUCCUUAACCCACUGAGUGAGGCCAGGGGUCGAACCUGCAUCCUCAUGGAUACUAGUUGGGUUCUUAACCUGCUGAGACACAAUGGGAACUCCCACUGGGUUGUCUAAUUCCAGUCCUGCUGGGAAGUGGGCCUGGACAGCAAACUGGCAUCCUCAGAGAGACAAAAUCCCUUUCAGCUCCUCAUCUGGUCCCUGGCCCGACUCAGGGCUGGGUUCGCUCCUUCUCCCCCUAAGCCUACCGGGCCGCCUACCCCUUAGUUCUGAUGAGCGUCUGGUCCCCCUUCUGGGUCUGGGUGGCGCUUUCUGAACACCUGGCAGUGUCUGUCUCUUCCCUCCUCCCUCCCUCCUGGCUCCCACCCAGGCCUUUGCUGCUUCUUUCAUGUUUGGAAGACUCCAUGCUUUCCAGGCGUGGGCUCGGCUUUGGUUUCAUCCUGAAAGUCAGAACCUUCCUCUGUGUGAAGACGGCAUCCUCCAGGCCAAGUGCAGAGCAGGCUGGCGGCUGGCGGCUGGCUGCUGUCGAGGAAGCGGGGCGAAAAAGCCCUGAGAAUCACAUAAAAACAGCUUCCCCUAGAAUCAGAUAAAAACAGCUUCAGGCGAGGGAAGUAAUGUCCCUGCCAGCCCACAGCCCGUCACCCCAAACAGCUCCCCCCAGUUUGCCUGACUCUCUGCAGCAAUGACAGGUGUCAGGUGGCUGCCCCCACAGGGAGAGAGGUGGAUCUUACUUUCCUGGCGUGGCCGGGGGUGGCUGCUGAGGGGGUGAGCAGAGACAGAAAUUUAUGUCUCGUGUUUAGUGACACCCCAGACACAGGUGGGGUUUUCUUGAGUGACAAGUGUCACCGUGCGUCCCAGCGUGGGAUGGCUUCACGUGGGUGUUUGUGCGCUUGGAAGUUCACCUCCCCUCCUCCGCCCCCUGCCCCGGAUUCUCCCCUCACCUGCCGCUGCCCCUCCCAACCUCAGGAGGAAGAUGCUUUCCAGGUAACUGAAGCACGGAGGGACCCCAAGGGGCCCCUGCCUGUCUUCUGAACAGCGCGCCUGUGAGGAUUGCCAGGUGGGAGGAUCAGCUCAAAAGAGCUUCCCUCUAAGGGAGACCAUGGCCUCGGGGUUAUUGUCUUGGUUAGAUAAGGAACGGGGGCUGGUGUACUGGUCGUCUGAGCUGGCCGCUCAGGCUGUUGGAAGGCCAGGGUUAACUGACUGAGUACCAGCCAGCUGAAGGGUUCUCAGGCCAGUAAGUGCCCGGAUAACACACAGCCCUUUGGUGAGACCUGGGCUUGUCUCACUGGUGCAGCACAAGGGUGAUGGUCCAGGAAUCCCAGGGUCCACGUCCAGGCUUUCAUCAGUUACAGGUGUUCAGGGCAGGGAUUGCAGGCACAGAGAACUUGACAGUGAAUGAGAUGCUCCCGGGACCUAAUCAUGCCUCUUGAAUCAGGGUGGCAUUCCCUUGGGCCAGAGCAGGAUCCUGGAGCAAGGAGGAGCCACCUGGUGGCUGGGGAGUGCCCUGUGGGCAGUGGAGACGGUUGACCUGGAUCUUCAGAUCUGAGUCCGAGCCAAGACUUGGGGCCAGGAAGGCACAGGGUCCCCGUGGCAGAUGGCUCCUGGCUCUGGUCUGGUACCCCUCCUGCUGGGGGCAGGAGACACCCCGCUGUGGCCCUCCCCUGGCCCCCACCUGAAAGUGGCCUUGGCCUUGGCGUCAGCUUCUGGCUGCACUUGACAGAAGGGAAGGAAGGGGCACAGGGCCCUCCCUCUGCUGCCCUGGACCCAUGUGUCAGCCCCAAUGACAAGAACAGCCUCCCCUGUGCUGGGCCCUUGCUAGGCACUGUGCUGCCUUUUUUUUUUUUUUUUUUUUUUUUUUUUUGGCUUUUUAGGGCCGCAUAUGGAAGUUCCCAGGAUGGGGGUCGAAUCAGAGCUGCAGCUGCCGGCCUACACCACAGCCACAGCAAUGCAGGAUCUGAGCCUUAUCUGCAACCCACACUACAGCUGACAGCAAUGCCAGAUCCUUAGCCCACUGAGCGAGGCCAAGGAUUGACCCACGUUCUCAUGGAUCCUAGUUGGGUUCAUUAACCGAUGAGCCACAACAGGAACUCUUGUGCUGCAUUUUAUGUCCUGUAACCCUUAGAAUGGUCUGGGGAGCGGGUGGUGUCAAUGUGCCGAGUUUUUAGAUGUCAGAACUGAGGCCCCAAGAGAGGAAGCCACGGGCCCCCAAACAUAUGCUCCAGAGGAAGGAGGAUGGCUGUGGCAGAGACAGGGUUUUCUGAGGGGGCCUGGCCCCCUCAAAUGUAGUAGGGUGCCACUCUGCUGUCACCAUCCUGAGUAGCCCGCAAACCCUCACUCCCUGGUGGAAGGCAGGCCCGAAGGGGACUCGUGCUGCCGUGAGAGAAUGGUGGCUGCAGCUGGAGCUGGUACUGGGGACUGCCUGGUCCAACACGCAGGACCGCCCCGGGGUACCCGUCCCUGACCCACCGUGACUCAGAGACACUGCGAUGAUGCCACCAGGGCUGAGGAGCCUCGGCAACGACACUAACAGGAAGUACAGAAAGAAAGCCAGCUACACACUAACAUCUUCUCCUGGAGGAACAGGACUGAGAUCUCAGAAAAGCAAAACACAGACCCCAAACAGCAAGCCUGGGGCUUCAGAAGGAGGUGCUGACUCCACCCACCGGACCAGGAGGAUGCCUUCCAGAGGCCUUCCAAGGAGGAAAGCAAGGAGCUGGCUGAUCCUUCGGGGCCACCUUGGCUCUUUAAAUUAAAGACGUGCCUCAGUUUAACCAUCCAUAGCUUGGGAACAAGGGGCCUGGGCAGCCAUCAUUGUUUUCAUUUCUUUCAGAGCAAAGGGCUUGGAGUGAGUCUCCUCCGGCAAGGGACAGGGAGUAGCAGAGGCUGUUCUGUCCUGUUGCAGGUCCCAGGGGCUCAAGGGGCAGGGCUCUUUCCAGUAAAACAGGAACACUUGUCCCCCGAGUCCACUCUGCCUUCCUGAGCCUAUCACAGAGCAGGGAGGUUGAUGACAGAGUCCUGCCUGUGUGUGUCCUGAUUUCUGGUACAAGUUGUCACUGGCUGUGGAACCUCUGUUCCCAAGCCCUCCCAAAUGCCAGCCAUGCCGGCCACCCCCGCCCCCACACUUUCACCCUAGAGUGGGCAGAAGCACAGACAACCACACACGUGUGGACACCUAAGUGGGUGGAGCAGGUCCCGGGCGAGCCGUCUCCCUCUGGCGGGGGCCUGGCUGGAGGCACUUUUGUCCUCAGUGUCCCCACCCCAGGGCCCUGGUGUGCACACUGUCUCCUCUCUUGGACCUCUUCCUCUAGGGGUCCACAGGCUCAGCACCCCCACAUCCCCACACCCGGCUGUGCUCAUCCCCCCACCCGCCCCCGCUUGGCUUUUUGUAGGAGUGAGUGGAGGGUCUGCCCAGAGAAGAGGGGACAAUGGUCCCUUUCUGGACUCUCAUGGGGCUGCCGACAGUCCUCUCUCCUGAGAUCCUCUUCUGCUCCCUCAUCCCUCCCACCAACCCCAG
rnacentral:lncRNA from 1 species